CUCCAGUUCUCCCUCUAGAUCCAUUCAGUUCUGCUUCUCCCUAAUUAAUAGCAUCCAUUUACAACUAUUAUGGAACAUACAUAUCAAUAUUCAUGGAUUAUCCCUUUCAUUCCAAUUCUUGAAGAAGGUUCUCUCUCUCUCUCUCUCUCUACCUGUUGAAUUUCCAAACCACUACAUGUCUCUCCAUAACUCUCUUUCUCCUACUCGGAAGUCACCUUAAAAUCGAAAGAAUCAGUGGAUGACUAUCAUUUACUGAGAAAAAGGCUACAAAUCACCAUAUACGCUCAUUCAAAGAAGUCCCAACGACGAUCUCUCCUACCGCAAAGCAGAGACACUCACGCUUCUCUUCGUACGACUCUAACCAAAUUUACGGCGUUAUGUCCGGUUGUCCUGUUCUCAUCCAGACUUUCUGCAAGAGAUCCUCGCCGUCGCAGGAUCUCAUCGGAGCUACAACUCUCAUGGUAUUGCCAAAAAGAAGCUUAAAUGAUUUAGGACAUAAUUACAGAGAGGCUGGACUUAAUGUUGGUGUUUGGAGUUCUCAGUGGAUUCAUUUCAUUUUAGCAUCCAUUUAUCUUAUUGACAGUCAUCUCUCUUGGCAUGUAAACAUUUAUUCUUGGGAAAACAUCUCUCUUUUUGAAUGUUUGAUCACUCUUUGGAUGGAUUGUCUUCUGCUACUGUAGCCCGUUGCUUUCUGUUCUUGAUAGGUAAGUUAUGUAUCAUUGGGUUGUUUUACAUCCUUAGAAAUUAAACUAAGAAACCCACA